UGCGGUUACACAAAAAUUAAAUUGAAUUUUUUUAGGAUUUAAUAAUUAAAUAUUGUUGAUAAUUUAAAUUUUAAGUUAUAAGGUGAAAUUUUAACUUAAUUAAAUUUUAUUUUUUUUUUUAAGAUAUUAAUAGAUUUUGUAAAAAACUAGGAUUAGAUACCCUAUUAUAAAAAUUUAAAUUUAGCAAUCUUAAAAUAGUAUAUAAUUUUUAUAGAAACUUAAAUAAUUUGGCGGUAUUUUAGUUUAUUUAGAGGAAUCUGUCUAAUAAUUGAUAAUCCACGAUUAAAUUUACUUAAUUUAUAAUUUUGUAUAUCGUUGUUAUAAAAAUAUUUUUAAAUAAUUUUAAUAUUUUAAAAUUUAAAUAUGAAUUUAAAUCAGAUCAAGAUGCAGAUUAUAAUUAAGAAUAAGAUGGAUUACAAUAAGUUUUAUUUGUUGGAUAUUAAUUUGGAAUAAAUUAGUUGAAAUUGGAUUUAAAUGUAAUUUUAUUUAUUUAAUUAAGAUGAUUAAUAAUUAAAAUAUGUACAUAUUGCCCGUCGCUUUCAUUUAUAAGUUGAAAUAAGUCGUAACAAAGUAGAGGUACUGGAAAGUGUUUCUAGAAAGAU
rnacentral:rRNA from 1 species